AUACUUACCUGGCAGGGGAGAUGCCAUGAUCAUGAAGGUGGUUCCCCAUGGCGAGUCUUAUCCAUUGCACUAUGGAUGUGCUGACUCCUGCGAUUUCCCCAAAUGUGGGAAACUCGACUGCAUAAUUUGUGGUAGUGGGGGACUACAUUUGCUCUCUCCCC